AUUGAACGCUGGCGGCAUGCCUUACACAUGCAAAUCGAACGGUAACGGGCCUUCGGGUGCCGACGAGUGGCGAACGGGUGAGUAAUACAUCGGAACGUGCCCGAUCGUGGGGGAUAACGAGGCGAAAGCUUUGCUAAUACCGCAUACGAUCUACGGAUGAAAGCAGGGGACCGCAAGGCCUUGCGCGGACGGAGCGGCCGAUGGCAGAUUAGGUAGUUGGUGGGAUAAAAGCUUACCAAGCCGACGAUCUGUAGCUGGUCUGAGAGGAUGAUCAGCCACACUGGGACUGAGACACGGCCCAGACACCUACGGGAGGCAGCAGUGGGGAAUUUUGGACAAUGGGCGCAAGCCUGAUCCAGCCAUGCCGCGUGCAGGAUGAAGGCCUUCGGGUUGUAAACUGAUUUUGUACGGAACGAAAAGCCUUCUUUUAAUACAGGAGGGUCAUGACGGUACCGUAAGAAUAAGCACCGGCUAACUACGUG
rnacentral:rRNA from 1 species